UCAAACUAAUCAUAAAACUUGAGCACCUUAUCCUCAGAAAUCAAGAGAGUUUCUACUUUCAUCGAUGAGUUUCGUUUGUUUACUAGCUUUCAUGGGGUGUAUUUACCCUUCAAAUGUUCGCCAUAAUAAUGCUCGCAUAGAGGCAUUCCAUUGGCUCCUAUCAUCAUCUCCCGCUUCGCAAAAUGUGGUUCGACCUACUGACAGAUGAACGAGGCAGCACCGACAGGCAGAAAUCUUUCUCAUCAUACGUGUUGAAGCAGCCUCCCAUGUGGCUCUGAGAGAGGGCCUCACCGCCGAGGCGCACCGAAUGGGAAGAAGAAGAAGAAAAAAAAUCACCCUGGUGUUUGGGUCUGAUUUCUCAGCUCAUUAAUCCUCCCUCUGGUCAUACAGUGUGUCUCGCAGACUGGCAUCAUUUAGCUAUCUUGGAGCAUAAAGUAUUUUGUCCCAGCCGGAAUGUGUGCAGGACAGCUUAAUAUGCUGCUGAUGCUUGGAGAUGGCUUGGCCCUGGACACAUGUGGUGGAACGGAAGAUGAAGGAAGGGAGCUGAGAGGAGUCAAAGGCAGACUUGGGUGAUAAAGGAUGUGGAGAAUCUGAAGCUGACUGCUUGCCCACCUGGAGUGCAUCAAAGUUGCCACUGCUGGCCUGGCAGCUGCACCCUGGGAUAUCGGACACCCCGGAGAUGACGAGUCUGAUGAAUCUGUGGGCUCCCUGCCCUGUGGCCUUGGUCAGAUCCAUCCUAGUGGGAAACAAGUGUGUCUGACUGACCCAGACCAAACACACUUCAAACUUACACUCACACACACACACAAACGCACACUUCCUGUGGCCUCUACUGCCCACCGCAUCAUUAAUACCAAUUGGCCUUUCUUUAUGGCUGCAAAUAUUUUUCACAUGUUCUUGGAUCACCUUGGGUCUUUCUAGCCACAAUAAAAGCUCUCCUUUCUUUGUAGUCCUAAUAGCAAAAAGGGACAUUUGUUAACAUGAUUUGUGAGAUUUUGAAGCCAUAUAGCGGAUUUCUGUUUCAGGGUGUGUAAGCACUUGUUUAUUGUACCUGUGUAGACAAACCUUAUUGAAACCAAAGUCUGACCCUUAAGUUCGGGCCCCCAUUUUUAAUGUGAGUAAUAAUAGUGUAUAUUAUUUACAUUUGUUGAUACUAAGGUUUGAGUGCAGUACUGUAUUUACAUGGAAAAUAUAUGUGUGUAUUUCUCUACUAGAGUCUACUUUUACAACUAAUUAUGGAGCCGUUUAAGGUUAGCAAUAUGUCGGUAACAGUUAGGGGAAAGGCAGAAACACAGUUACUUAAUUAAACAUCAGUUUUUGUAAACACCUGAUAUGGGUAGAAUGGCUUUUGAAGACGGAGGAGGGGCAGCUCCACUUCUGCAAUGUCUGUUUGAUGAUUCCUUUAUUGUGUCUACAACACAGCUAGUGGCGGGUCUUUAAAAUCCAAUAAGCCAGACACACAUAGGCUCAUUGUCAAAAAGGCAGGACAUGGAGGUGUUUACACUUGACAUAUUAAUAAGUUGAACUGUGGGGAUAUCUGUAGACAAAUCUCCAUUUGGUUCAUUUAACAAUUACAAACACUUUGGAUGGAAAUGAAGAGAAAGAGCCAAACUGACCUGCAUCCAACAAGUGUUGGCUGCCCGGGGGUCUAUACUCAGAACUCUGAUUAGCAUGAUAAGAAGGAAGAAACACAUCCAAACAUUGUUUACCUUUGAAACAACACCGUCAUUCUUGGUGCUUUCAUUUGAGCUAUACUGUAUAAAUACUUCUCAGAAAAAGCUGAGAGAAAACAACAAUAACUCAGUGACAGAUACGUAGAAAACUCAGUGUGGUGGAUUCUGUGUUUUACAGGUCAGACAGUCUUUAUCCUCAUUUCUUCCCUUAGCUCCUGCUUUCUACUGCUUUGUUUUCAUGUCACAGUUUCUCAGAAAGUGGGAAGCCCUGAUGCCAAUGUGCUGUGUUUUCUUUUCACUCAGCAUAUUAUACAUGGCUUCACUCUACCCUGAUGCUGGUAUCAGCUUUGUGCAAGUAAGUUUUGCCUUUGUCUGCAUCUGGACGAGCACAAUUGCUAAAGGUACCACUUGUACGUGCAUAAGAGCCAACCUUUUGCCAAGAAACAAACCAUGUUCAGUUUAUCAGAUCAGAGUUUGCCAGUACUUUGAGUCCACUCCCUUCCUCAUAAUUCAUCAUAUCUAAACAAAGACAAAACAGUCCUAGAUUUUAAUUAUAUGUUUGGCACCUUUACGACUGCAGUUAAGUUUGCAAACCGUCAUGAGAUGUGUUAUGUGUGAGAGUCAGGCCCUAUAUGUUAGAAGCAGAACAUAUUUUCAUGAUCAAAUCAAUCCAUGUUUUUUUUAAUCCAUGUUUAUUGAUAGAAAAGGUAUAUUAAAUAUGUAUGGAUAUUUUGAAGUGUUGUUCCUCAAAGUAAGAAAAAAAAGUAAGAAAUUCAGUCUAAACAGAUGCUCCAUGCUACAUAUCCACAUAGCUAACCACAGUCUGACAAAUCGCUGUGCAGAUAGAACCUGAACUGAAGCUUUUGUCAUAGCAGUGGGAAAAAAAAUGAAAAAAAUUGUUGGAUCCCCCUUUCAUACCAGUUAUAAUAAAAGGCUAUCCAGAUUAAACAUUUUUCUUGUCAUAGAAUAAAACAUUAUUUUACCUGUCAGGCUUCAGUGUUUGGUGGUUUCCUCACAAAGUCCACAUGGGCUUCAUUUUUAUGCUCUUUAAACUAGUUUCUCACAAAUGCCACUUUACGGUAACUAGGCCACAGUCAGCUAGAUUACAGGUCUUAUGUGCUGAAGGAUCUGACUUUGGUCAUUGUUUGUUCUGUUUCUCUCCUAGAGAUUGCUAUUGGCCAGAGGUUACACAAUUUUGAUAUAUUUACUCAAGUAAAAGUAAUAAGUAGCCAUCGAAGGAAUUACUCAAGUAAAACAAAACAAAAAUACCAGGUAUAAAGACUGAUUGAUUUGACUCAAUUUAAAAAAUAUAUCAUCAGGCAGAAAAGUGUCAUAACGUUCUAUUCAAAUUCAAGAAACAAAUAUAUAUGACAUAACUGCACUCCCACCCCAACAAAUACAAAGAAGUACUUCUCGAAAGCAAUUUCUUAAUAUAAAGCAAUUUCCUCAAAUAAAAAGAAAGAACCGAACCCCAAAGCUUUCGUCAAAACUAGAAUAUCACUUUUAACAAAAACUUAUUUCUGUUUUUUGUGCAUUUUUGGUUUAAAAGGAGGUUCUUCUUCAUUCAGUAAAGUAACUCAGUUGAUAGAGCAGCAUGAAAAUUUACUCAAGGCUAUUAAUCUCAUAUAAUAAUACUGCUCAAGUAAAAGUAAAAAAAUACAGUGCUCUAAAACUACUGUACUCUUAAAGGUAAAUUAAAUUAAAUUCAAAUUAAAAAAGCUACUCGGGUAAUAAAUGAGAAAUGGCCUCUAUUUGCAAAGAGGUUUUUCAAAUUUAGAAGCUUGAACAAAGCGCUUUACACUACAUUUGGUCAUUUGCUCGCACACUGAUGGUGGCGAGCUACAUUGUAGCCACAGCUGCCAAGGGCUCACUGACAGAACGAGGCAGGCGCCUCCUCUGGCCACCAUCUGUAGGUAAUUUGGGUAAAGUGUCUUGCCCAAAGACAACACAACACUGAAAGCCGGGCCUUGAACCGACAACUCCGCCGCUGAAGGGAAAACUCCUGCAUCUGACACCACUGCCACCUCAGAAGAAAAUAUAAAUGGCUACUAUCCAGGUCUACCGGUACUAUUCACUUGUUUCAAUUGCGACUCCCACUGGCCAAAAGUUAAAUUCUGCAUGUGUCACUGGUGUUUCGGCAAUAAAAACACUUACA